UGAAUGGAGAUCUUCCAGCAUGAAACCUAUGUGGUCUUCUCUCUUGGCAAGAUUUGUAUAUGAUGUGAAAGCGGGGUUUUCUAGCAUGGGAAUAUCUUUACAUGACAUGAAGGAGGGCUUUCUAGGUCAUAAGGUCUUCCCUCUUUGGGGAAGAUAAGAGGGAAGACCUCUAUAUACUAUGAAGGGUAAUCUUCUACCUUGGGAAGAUCUCUCCAUGUUCCUUUUUAGGGAAGACCUCUAUAUUAUAUGAAGGGAGGUCUUCCAGCCUGGGAAGACCUCUAUGUGGUCUUCCUUCUUUGGGGAAGGCCUCUAUAUGAUAUGAAAAGAGGCCUUCUAGCUUGGGAAGACCUCUACGUGGUCUUCCUUUUCAGGGAAGACCUUUGUAUAAUAUAAAGGGUGGUUUUCUGGCAUGGGAAGAUCUCUAUGUGGUCUUCCCUUUUUGGGGAAGACCUCUAUAAGAUAUAAAGGGAGGUAUUCCAUUGAGAAAGACCUUUAUAUGAUAUAAAGAAUGGCCUUUCAGCUUGAGAAGACCUUUAUGUGGUCUCCCUCUUUGGGGAAGACCUUUGUAUACUAUGAAAGGAGGAGUUCACCUCUAUAUUGUCUCUAUAACUAAUUAUUAGAAUACUUUUUGCUUUUCUGGAGCUCAUGGCUAUACUGAUGAGGAUCUUAUCUUUUUGGUUUCAGGAACUAAAAAUUUAGUCUUUAUGAUUUGUUUCUUAUUUAUAUUCUGAUGUGUUGUAGUCUCCAAAACUUAUAGCUCUAAUAGUUGGACCUUUAGUUUUGUAAUCAGAAGGACAUCUUACCUUUAAAAGGGUACUUUCACCCUUAGAAGGGUACUUUCGCCCUUGAAAGGGUUCUCUGCCCUUUGAAAGUGUACUAUUUUGUACCUUCCUUUGGAAGAGUACUAUAAUACCCUCAAAAGAGUACUUUUAUGCUUUUCCCUGCAGACUUUUGCUCUUCCUUUCGAAAGAGUACUUGUCUGCUCUUCCUUUCGAAAGAGUACU
rnacentral:misc_RNA from 1 species